ACAACCAAAGCUCCCUUUCUCCCUUGAGGGAAAGUGAACCGAAUAAAAUUAUACUGUUUUCAUUUUUAUAUCAGUAUCAUUUCUAUUUAAUAUACGAAGAUCUUGUGAUGGAAACCGGUCAACCACCAACCAUCAACGACCAACGAUCAACGUUGCAGGAAUGACGACCUUGUUGGAGUUUUUUUUUGGGGAAAGGCGAAGCAUGUGGCUGUGGAAUUGGCGUUCCCAGUCGCAUCGGAAGAGGACCUCAUAGCUUUAGAGCUGAACAUAAGCUCAGGAUGGAAGCAAUAACAGAUAUAUUAAAGCGCAACCAUUUUCCGAAGGCAAUCGAGGGAGUUUUGACAGAAACGCUCUUGUGCGCCCACAAUAUAGACGGCCUUAACGGGAAAAAGUGUUUCAAAUCAUUCCAAAAUUUUUUUCCGGUAUGAUUGAUCUUGUGAUGGAAACCGGUCAACCACCAACCAUCAACGACCAACGAUCAACGUUGCAGGAAUGACGACCUUGUUGGAGUUUUUUUUUGGGGAAAGGCGAAGCAUGUGGCUGUGGAAUUGGCGUUCCCAGUCGCAUCGGAAGAGGACCUCAUAGCUUUAGAGCUGAACAUAAGCUCAGGAUGGAAGCAAUAACAGAUAUAUUAAAGAGCAACCAUUUUCCGAAGGCAAUCGAGGGAGUUUUGACAGAAAUGCUCUUGUGCGCCCACAAUAUAGACGGCCUUAACGGGAAAAAGUGUUUCAAAUCAUUCCAAAAUUUUUUUCCGGUAUGAUUGAUCUUGUGAUGGAAACCGGUCAACCACCAACCAUCAACGACCAACGAUCAACGUUGCAGGAAUGACGACCUUGUUGGAGUUUUUUUUUGGGGAAAGGCGAAGCAUGUGGCUGUGGAAUUGGCGUUCCCAGUCGCAUCGGAAGAGGACCUCAUAGCUUUAGAGCUGAACAUAAGCUCAGGAUGGAAGCAAUAACAGAUAUAUUAAAGAGCAACCAUUUUCCGAAGGCAAUCGAGGGAGUUUUGACAGAAAUGCUCUUGUGCGCCCACAAUAUAGACGGCCUUAACGGGAAAAAGUGUUUCAAAUCAUUCCAAAAUUUUUUUCCGGUAUGAUUGAUCUUGUGAUGGAAACCGGUCAACCACCAACCAUCAACGACCAACGAUCAACGUUGCAGGAAUGACGACCUUGUUGGAGUUUUUUUUUGGGGAAAGGCGAAGCAUGUGGCUGUGGAAUUGGCGUUCCCAGUCGCAUCGGAAGAGGACCUCAUAGCUUUAGAGCUGAACAUAAGCUCAGGAUGGAAGCAAUAACAGAUAUAUUAAAGAGCAACCAUUUUCCGAAGGCAAUCGAGGGAGUUUUGACAGAAACGCUCUUGUGCGCCCACAAUAUAGACGGCCUUAACGGGAAAAAGUGUUUCAAAUCAUUCCAAAAUUUUUUUCCGGUAUGAUUGGUAUGUAUUUUUGUAAUUUUGCAUGUAUAUUAUUUAAAUAU